rnacentral:lncRNA from 1 species
AUUCCAUUCCCUAUGUUAUCACCUGAAAACAGCUCUAGUGCAUUUCUUCUUGAUAACAUAUACCCUUGUCUGCCCUGCCUUGACUUACCUUCCGUCUUCAACCCUAGCUAGCCUUGACUUACCUUCUGUCUUUGAGUAAGGAGUUCUUUGUUUGUGGGGAGAUAAAGGAUCCUAUACUAUACUUCUGCGCUCGAUGGAUCAGUAUUUGAAGAGUUUACUGAGGCGCGUUAAGUAUUGUCUGUUGAGUUAAGUUCGCCACUUAUGGUUAAUGCAAGUAUAUUUGGUUUGUGUAUAAAUGUUUGUAUAUAAAUGGUCAUUUAGAUAAAUGGUAAUUAGAGAUAGAUUCCUUUCCUGUCC